rnacentral:rRNA from 1 species
AUGAACGCUGGCGGCGUGCCUAAUACAUGCAAGUCGAGCGAACAGAUGAGGAGCUUGCUCCUCUGACGUUAGCGGCGGACGGGUGAGUAACACGUGGAUAACCUACCUAUAAGACUGGGAUAACUUCGGGAAACCGGAGCUAAUACCGGAUAAUAUAUUGAACCGCAUGGUUCAAUAGUGAAAGACGGUUUUGCUGUCACUUAUAGAUGGAUCCGCGCCGCAUUAGCUAGUUGGUAAGGUAACGGCUUACCAAGGCAACGAUGCGUAGCCGACCUGAGAGGGUGAUCGGCCACACUGGAACUGAGACACGGUCCAGACUCCUACGGGAGGCAUCAGUAGGGAAUCUUCCGCAAUGGGCGAAAGCCUGACGGAGCAACGCCGCGUGAGUGAUGAAGGUCUUCAGAUCGUAAAACUCUGUUAUUAGGGAAGAACAAAUGUGUAAGUAACUAUGCACGUCUUGACGGUACCUAAUCAGAAAGCCACGGCUAACUACGUG